rnacentral:rRNA from 1 species
AACUGGGGAACUUGAGUGCAGAAGAGGAGAGUGGAAUUCCACGUGUAGCGGUGAAAUGCGUAGAGAUGUGGAGGAACACCAGUGGCGAAGGCGACUCUCUGGUCUGUAACUGACGCUGAGGAGCGAAAGCGUGGGGAGCGAACAGGAUUAGAUACCCUGGUAGUCCACGCCGUAAACGAUGAGUGCUAAGUGUUAGGGGGUUUCCGCCCCUUAGUGCUGCAGCUAACGCAUUAAGCACUCCGCCUGGGGAGUACGGUCGCAAGACUGAAACUCAAAGGAAUUGACGGGGGCCCGCACAAGCGGUGGAGCAUGUGGUUUAAUUCGAAGCAACGCGAAGAACCUUACCAGGUCUUGACAUCCUCUGACAAUCCUAGAGAUAGGACGUCCCCUUCGGGGGCAGAGUGACAGGUGGUGCAUGGUUGUCGUCAGCUCGUGUCGUGAGAUGUUGGGUUAAGUCCCGCAACGAGCGCAACCCUUGAUCUUAGUUGCCAGCAUUCAGUUGGGCACUCUAAGGUGACUGCCGGUGACAAACCGGAGGAAGGUGGGGAUGACGUCAAAUCAUCAUGCCCCUUAUGACCUGGGCUACACACGUGCUACAAUGGACAGAACAAAGGGCAGCGAAACCGCGAGGUUAAGCCAAUCCCACAAAUCUGUUCUCAGUUCGGAUCGCAGUCUGCAACUCGACUGCGUGAAGCUGGAAUCGCUAGUAA